rnacentral:rRNA from 1 species
AGAGUUUGAUCCUGGUUCAGAUUGAACGCUGGCGGAAUGCUUUACACAUGCAAGUCGAGCGGCAGCGCGGAGGGCAACCCUGGCGGCGAGCGGCGAACGGGUGAGUCAUACAUCGGAACGUGUCCUUAAGUGGGGGAUAGCUCGGCGAAAGCCGGAUUAAUACCGCAUAAGCUCUGAGGAAGGAAAGCGGGGGACCGGUAACGCCUCGCGCUGUUGGAGCGGCCGAUGUCGGAUUAGCUAGUUGGUGGGGUAAAGGCCCACCAAGGCGACGAUCCGUAGCUGGUCUGAGAGGAUGAUCAGCCACACUGGAACUGAGACACGGUCCAGACUCCUACGGGAGGCAGCAGUGGGGAAUUUUGGACAAUGGGGCAACCCUGAUCCAGCCAUUCCGCGUGAGUGAAGAAGGCCUUCGGGUUGUAAGCUCUUUCGGACGGAACGAAAUGGUUACGGUCAAUACCUGUGACUGAUGACGGUACCGUAAGAAGAAGCACCGGCUAACUACGUGCCAGCAGCCGCGGUAAUACGUAGGGUGCGAGCGUUAAUCGGAAUUACUGGGCGUAAAGCGUGCGCAGGCGGCGGCUCAAGUUAGGUGUGAAAUCCCCGGGCUUAACCUGGGAAUUGCGCUUGAAACUAGGUCGCUAGAGUGUGGCAGAGGGGGGUGGAAUUCCACGUGUAGCAGUGAAAUGCGUAGAGAUGUGGAGGAACACCGAUGGCGAAGGCAGCCCCCUGGGUCAACACUGACGCUCAGGCACGAAAGCGUGGGGAGCAAACAGGAU